rnacentral:lncRNA from 1 species
AUGCAAAAGGCCAAAAAGAAAUCGGAAGAGCACUUGGGGCCUGGACCGCCUUCCAAGCCUCUGCUAAAUCAAGUCGCCGCUGCAAAGUACCGUUCACUGGACAGGAAUUUUAAGCGGCGAUACAAUUCGAAGAUGUCUGUCUUCGAAAGCUCCCCUCAGGAAAUGCCGUGCCCCCUCGCUGGCUUUCGGGACAGCUCGUAAGGCCCCUAGGCGCCCUUCCUAACAGACUCCAGGGGACACCAGCCUCUCUCGGGAAGCUCUGCAGCCAACGGCCACACCCAGAGGCGCGCGACACCAUAACAAUAACAACCGCCUCCCGCGGCACGCGAGCGGCGACUGGGCGACUGACGAGGCGCCCUCGCCGAACGCGG